GGUGAAUCAGCUGUAACUUUUCGGUACGAUCUCGGAUCGGGGCGAAUUUUAUAUGAAAAUUGAUCUACAGAAAAAGUUACACAUGAAAUUCAACGGCAUUGCCGUUUUCGGUGAAAAAGUACUAAUGGGCCUCGGAUCCAGAGGCCCGUCAGGAACCUCUAUAAAUAGAGGGGUGGGGGCGCCCUAGGGUUUACACCUUUUGGCGAAACACACCUGCCACGCCUCCC
rnacentral:lncRNA from 1 species